rnacentral:rRNA from 1 species
CUGCCAGUAGUCAUAUGCUUGUCUCAAAGAUUAAGCCAUGCAUGUCUCAGUACAAGCCAAAUUAAGGUGAAACCGCGAAAGGCUCAUUAAAUCAGUUAUGGUUCCUUAGAUCGUACCCACAAUUACUUGGAUAACUGUGGUAAUUCUAGAGCUAAUACAUGCAAACAGAGCUCCGACCGGAGACGGAAGGAGUGCUUUUAUUAGAUCAAAACCAAUCGGUGGCGAGUUCGCUCGUCAUCGUACAACUUGGUGACUGUGAAUAACUUUACGCUGAUCGCACGGUCUCGCACCGGCGACGCAUCUUUCAAAUGUCUGCCUUAUCAACUGUCGAUGGUAGGUUCUGCGCCUACCAUGGUUGUAACGGGUAACGGGGAAUCAGGGUUCGAUUCCGGAGAGGGAGCCUGAGAAACGGCUACCACAUCCAAGGAAGGCAGCAGGCGCGCAAAUUACCCACUCCCGGCACGGGGAGGUAGUGACGAAAAAUAACGAUACGGGACUCAUCCGAGGCCCCGUAAUCGGAAUGAGUACACUCUAAACCCUUUAACGAGGAUCAAUUGGAGGGCAAGUCUGGUGCCAGCAGCCGCGGUAAUUCCAGCUCCAAUAGCGUAUAUUAAAGU